CGUUCAGAUGGCCUAAUGGUUAGAGCGUCCGCCUCAAAUGCGGGAGGUCGUGGGUUCGAUCGGUUGAUAUAGGUCGAGUCAUACCAACGA